UCCUGACGGUACUCUUGCUGCCACUGCUGUACAUGCUCUCGGUGAAUGUGUUAGUGUUUCUCUUGGCCCCUUAGAUGUAAAUUAGUUAUGUAGUGCAUCUUCUGUAUAGUGAAGACGCGAUCUUAUUAUUGUGGAGGAAAGAGAGCAGGCUUUUGUUUUAAGGACAAUUUAACUGAGUGUUGCAGCCUCUUGUGGUGUGUGCUGUGAUCACCAGACCAGAUACAAGGGUUGAUGCAAUAUUUUGUAGAGUUUCAGCAUGUAGAACAAUUUUUUUAGUGGAUGCCGCUUGAUUUCUACGACUAGAAAUCUUGUAAGUUUGCAUCGUCUCUUUGAUGUUUCACUUAAGAAAUUCUUGGAAAAUUAUGUACUUUUGUCUAAGGGUAAAAUUACAUACUUCUGGCCACUGUUGGCAUUGCCUCUGUGCUGUGGAUAAUUAGGAUGACUGAAAAUCCGGAAGGCUGUGCGGUUCGAAUGAGCCGAAAGAACGCGGCCGACAGGGAGAAAAUGGCCUUCCCACUAUUUGAGCCCAAUCCACUCGUCGAAUGAAUGUAGAGAACGAAGCUGCCCAUUACCUAAAAAAGUAAACUAAAAAAAAA
rnacentral:lncRNA from 1 species